rnacentral:piRNA from 1 species
UNGGGAAUAGAGUGGUUAGGUGGCUGUGC